UUGGAAACUUGGAGAGAAGGAACUGUUUAGAUUAGGACUGCACAACAAUGAACUCCCUUUUCUGCUGAUGGGAGUAAGGUAGCUUGUGUUACGCUACAGCACAACUUGCCAUAAGGUGUGAUAUUUGUAAAUGUUAGACUUUAUUUUCCUCACCUGGUUUAUAAUUAGUGACUACUGAGCGUUUCAAGAUGAUUUAAAAGAAAAAUGUGAUAUAUUUAUAGAUUUUUAGCAUUCAUUUAUAUUGCAAAACGGUAUCAGAGAAAUCUCCAUGUUGGCUACAGCUAUUUAUUGCUAACUGUAGCAUUAGUUAUUAUUAUAGUUAUUAGAUUAUAGUUAUUAUAUAUUAUAUAGUUUAUUACAUAGUUAUUAGUUAUUAUGAUAGUUUAUCAUCUCCAAAUCUGUGUCCCAUUGCUGCUGCCUCUCUCCCUGUCAGUUUUAGCCUACUGGUAAACCUUAGCCACUGAAGCCUGUAACUGGCAGGCACAGGAAAGAGGCAACUUCUUGCCAUUGGCUCUUGAUUUUCUAUCCUUGAGGGUGAUGAACACAAUUAUCAAAUUGCUUUUCAAUUGUAUUUUCAUCAGCUAACCAAGUUACAUUAUGUCCUUCUCAGCGAGACAUUUCCUUUAUUGCUCACAUCGCUUCUGUGGCUUUGUCUGAGUUUUCAACACCUUGUUUCCAACUUGACUAUCAGUUCUGGUGGUGGUUCCAUUCUCACUAACACCACCUCGAUGGUAUAAUUGCAUCCUUCUUCUCAACCACUGGGCUUCUGUUGAAACAUUCAGAGAUAAAAUUAGCUGUUCACAGCACCGUGCUGGAAAGUGCAGGUGAGUUACCCAUCUAUUGUGGUCUCUUUGUGCUCCUACCAAUACCAUUUGCCAGACUGCUCUAACUGUGUUUUGUAUCUCUCAUUCUGAAGUGUAAUUUGCUAAUUGCUGUGCUGAAAUAUUGCUCAUUUAAAUAGGCUUGACCUACCAGGUAAUUUAAAUCACUUUCCAGCACUACUGUAUCCUUACUCACUGUUCUGCUGACCUUGGCCAUCUGUAAAUUUCACCAUUUCUGAUUCAUAUUUAUGUAACCACUGAAUAAAUUAGACCCCAGACUUGAAA